rnacentral:rRNA from 1 species
CUGCUGCCUCCCGUAGGAGUCUGGGCCGUAUCUCAGUCCCAAUGUGGCCGGCCAACCUCUCAGUCCGGCUACUGAUCGUCGCCUUGGUAGGCCGUUACCCUACCAACUAGCUAAUCAGACGCGAGGCCAUCUCUCAGCGAUAAAUCUUUGACAUAAAUGCCAUGCGACACCUAUGUGUUAUGCGGUAUUAGCAGCCGUUUCCAGCUGUUGUCCCCCUCUGAAAGGCAGGUUCCUCACGCG